CCUACGGGAGGCAGCAGUGAGGAAUAUUGGGCAAUGGAGGCAACUCUGACCCAGCCAUGCCGCGUGAGUGAAGAAGGUUUUCGGAUUGUAAAGCUCUUUCGGACGUGACGAUGAUGACGGUAGCAUCUAAAGAAGCCCCGGCUAACUUCGUGCCAGCAGCCGCGGUAAUACGGAGGGGGCAAGCGUUGUUCGGAAUUACUGGGCGUAAAGGGAGUGUAGGCGGUUUAGUAAGAUAGUGGUGAAAUCCCAGAGCUUAACUUUGGAAUUGCCAUUCAAACUAUUAGACUAGAAUUACAGAGAGGUUAGUGGAAUGCCCGGUGUAGAGGUGAAAUUCGUAGAUAUUGGGUAGAACACCGGUGGCGAAGGCGACUAUCUGGCUGUACAUUGACGCUGAGGCUCGAAAGCGUGGGGAUCGAACAGGAUUAGAUACCCUAGUAGUC
rnacentral:rRNA from 1 species